rnacentral:rRNA from 1 species
AGAGUUUGAUCCUGGCUCAGAUUGAACGCUGGCGGCAUGCCUUACACAUGCAAGUCGAACGGUAACAGGUCUUCGGACGCUGACGAGUGGCGAACGGGUGAGUAAUACAUCGGAACGUGCCCAGUCGUGGGGGAUAACUACUCGAAAGAGUAGCUAAUGCCGCAUACGAUCUGAGGAUGAAAGCGGGGGACCUUCGGGCCUCGCGCGAUUGGAGCGGCCGAUGGCAGAUUAGGUAGUUGGUGGGAUAAAAGCUUACCAAGCCGACGAUCUGUAGCUGGUCUGAGAGGACGACCAGCCACACUGGGACUGAGACACGGCCCAGACUCCUACGGGAGGCAGCAGUGGGGAAUUUUGGACAAUGGGCGAAAGCCUGAUCCAGCAAUGCCGCGUGCAGGAUGAAGGCCUUCGGGUUGUAAACUGCUUUUGUACGGAACGAAAAAGCUCCUUCUAA